AUGCACCAGGCGCGAAUUUUUCUCAAUGGGCGAAAGCCUGAAGGAGCGACGCCGCGUGGGGGAUGAAUGGCUUCGGCCCGUAAACCCCUGUCAUUUGCGAACAAAUUGGACUCACCCAACACGUGUGUCAUUGAUUGUAGCGGAAGAGGAAGGGACGGCUAACUCUGUGCCAGCAGCCGCGGUAAUACAGAGGUCCCAAGCGUUGUUCGGGAUUCACUGGGCGUAAAGGGUGCGUAGGCGGUUGGGUAAGUCUGACGUGAAAUCUCCGGGCCGUAACCGGAAACUGCGUUGGAUACUAUCCGGCUAGAGGAAUGGAGGGGAGACUGGAAUACUUGGUGUAGCAGUGAAAUGCGUAGAUAUCAAGUGGAACACCAGUGGCGAAGGUCGAGUCUCUGGACAUUUCCUGACGCUGAGGCACGAAAGCCAGGGGAGCGAAAACGGGAUUAGAUACCCGUGUAGU
rnacentral:rRNA from 1 species